AAAUAUUGUACGGAUCGAAGAUCUUACACAAGAGACCAUUCAUGUUGAAUUGCAUAUAAAACAAUGGAAAAACGGCAGAGUUGUAAUUACUAGUGUUUGAAUUGAAAAAACAAAUUAUCGCAGACGCUGGUUUUAGUUUCGACACCCUUAACAUACCCGUUUUAUAACCGAUAAAUGGUACAGUGACCCAUGGAGGACUUUAUCUUCCGCACUCCAUACUACACACAAUGUAAAUUGAAUGACGCAUUUGUGUAUUUAUUAAAACCUGUAUAGAAUACUUUUCACGAUAUGAACAACAAUCUCUACGAUAAAUCCGCCUUAU